rnacentral:rRNA from 1 species
GUGUCCUACGGGAGGCAGCAGUAGGGAAUCUUCCACAAUGGACGAAAGUCUGAUGGAGCAACGCCGCGUGAGUGAAGAAGUCAUUCGUGAUGUAAAGCUCUAUCAGCAGGGAAGAAAAUGACGGUACCUGAGUAAGAAGCCCCGGCUAACUACGUGCCAGCAGCCGCGGUAAUACGUAGGGGGCAAGCGUUAUCCGGAUUUACUGGGUGUAAAGGGAGCGUAGACGGCCAGACAAGUCUGAAGUGAAAAUCCAGCGCUUAACGUUGGAAGUGCUCUGGAAACUGCCGGGCUGGAGUGCAGGAGGG